rnacentral:miRNA from 1 species
GCGGCAUUAUCAAGAUUCACA